GACGAACGCUGGCGGCGUGCUUAACACAUGCAAGUCGAACGAUGAUGCUGGAGCUUGCUCCAGUUGAUUAGUGGCGAAUGGGUGAGUAACACGUGAGCAAUCUGCCCUUGACUCUGGGAUAACUGCGGGAAACUGUAGAUAAUAGCGGAUACUUUCACCGGAAGGCAUCUUCUGGUGAUGAAAGAAUUUCGGUUAGGGAUCAGCUCGAGGCUGAUGAGCUUGUUGGUGAGGUAACGGCUCACCAAGGCGACGACGCGUAACCUGUCUGAGAGGGUGACCGGUCACACUGGGACUGAGACACGGCCCAGACUCCUACGGGAGGCAGCAGUGGGGAAUAUUGCACAAUGGGCGCAAGCCUGAUGCAGCAACGCCGCGUGAGGGAUGAAGGCCUUCGGGUUGUAAACCUGUUUUAGCAGGGAAGAAGCGAAAGUGACGGUACCUGCAGAAAAAGCACCGGCUAACUACGUGCCAGCCGCCGCAGUAA
rnacentral:rRNA from 1 species